AUUGAACGCUGGCGGCAGGCCUAACACAUGCAAGUCGAACGAGUGGCGGACGGGUGAGUAAUGUCUGGGAAACUGCCUGAUGGAGGGGGAUAACUCCUGGAAACGGUAGCUAAUACCGCAUACCAUCGGAUGUGCCCAGAUGGGAUUAGCUAGUAGGGGGGGUAAAGGCUAACCUAGGCGACGAUCCCUAGCUGGUCUGAGAGGAUGACCAGCCACACUGGAACUGAGACACGGUCCAGACUCCUACGGGAGGCAGCAGUGGGGAAUAUUGCACAAUGGGCGAAAGCCUGAUGCAGCCAUGCCGCGUGUAUUAAGAAGGCCUUCGGUGUGUAAAGUACUGUCAGCGGGGAUGCGUUACCCGCAGAAGAAGCACCGGCUAACUCCGUGCCAGCAGCCGCGGUAAUAC
rnacentral:rRNA from 1 species